rnacentral:rRNA from 1 species
AAUGAACGCUGGCGGCGCGCCUAAUACAUGCAAGUCGAGCGAGAAGACGUAGCAAUACGUUUGUAAAGCGGCGAACGGGUGAGGAAUACAUGGGUAACCUACCCUAGAGUGGGGAAUAACUAGCCGAAAGGUUAGCUAAUACCGCGUACGCUCCUUGGGCUUCGGUUCAGGGAGGAAAGCGAUACCGAGGGUAUCGCGCUCUUGGAUGGGCUCAUGUCCUAUCAGCUUGNGGUGAGGUAACGGCUCACCAAGGCUUCGACGGGUAGCUGGUCUGAGAGGACGAUCAGCCACACUGGCACUGCGACACGGGCCAGACUCCUACGGGAGGCAGCAGUAAGGAAUAUUGCGCAAUGGGUGAAAGCCUGACGCAGCGACGCCGC